rnacentral:rRNA from 1 species
UACGUAGGUGGCAAGCGUUAUCCGGAUUUACUGGGUGUAAAGGGAGCGCAGACGGAACUGCAAGUCUGAUGUGAAAGCCCGGGGCUCAACCGCGGGACUGCAUCGGAUACUGUGGAUCUGGAGUGCCGGAGGGGCAAGCGGAAUUCCUGGUGUAGCGGUGAAAUGCGUAGAUAUUAGGAGGAACACCGGUGGCGAAGGCGGCUUACUGGACGAUGACUGACGUUGAGGCUCGAAAGCGUGGGGAGCAAACAGGAUUAGAUACCCU